rnacentral:lncRNA from 1 species
GACUACAACUCCCAGCAUGCACAGCGAGGUCAGCACAGCCCGGCUUUCCUCUUCAGGACCGCGCGCCGCCCCAUGUUCACGCUGGCUGGGAUCGUAAUCCGGUCGCCCUGCAAUUAAAAAACUGGAAGCUAAUCAAAGACGACAACUCCCAGUAUGCCAGUUAAAAUUUGAAAUCACAGCAAGUCAAUAGGAAGCUCUCCUCUGCCAGUCUCCUAAAUCACAAUAUGGCCUUGACUGUGCCGCUCCACGGACUUGAAACAAACCCCAUAUUCCUCCUGAGUCUGAAGGAGAUCAAAGUACUCCAAAAAUGCAGCUGCUUCAGUGACAAGAGGGAAUUACCUCCUCCCAAGCCUCAGGAUCCCGGUACCCGAUUUGCCUACCCCAGGCUCACUCCCAUUCACACAGUCCUUCAUGGCAGUGUCCAGCUUCACCAGGUCAAAGCUACCUAGAUGUCCUCAUACAAAUUACAAGCUAUGAUGUCCACCUCAUUCUCUUUCUGGAAGGCUGACCUUAACUGUCCUGCACAUUCCUGACAGAGCAUAUUUGCCCUUUUCCUAUACUAAUAAGCCCUAAAUCUUGUGGGUAACAGCCUGGGGAACUACCUGUCUUGCUACCACUCAAGACCAUGCUUCUGUCCACAAAUUCCCCC